UUUAUUGGUGCAAAAUCAGUCGUUGAACUGUAUGCUUACUCUGGAUAAACAAGCAUAUCGCACGGCCUUGUGCUGGCGAAGUUUCUGUCUAGUAUCUGCCUUAUCAACUGUCGUUGGGAGUGUAGUGGACUCCCAUGGUUGUGACGGGUAACGGAGAAUCAGGGUUUGACUCCGGAGAGGGAGCCUUAGAAACGGCUACCAUGUCUAAGGAUAGCAGCAGGCGCGAAAAUUACCCAAUAUCAAAAGGAUGAGGUAGUAACGAGAAAUAACGAGAUCGUUCUCUAUGAGGUCGAUCAUUGGAAUGAGUACAAUCCAGAAACUUUAACGAGUAUCUACGAGAGGGCAAGUCUGGUGCCAGCAGCCGCGGUAAUUCCAGCUCUCGUAAGGUAUAGAAUUAUUGCUGUGGUUAAAAAGUUCGUAGUUGGAUUUGAACGUUGGCGCGGGUCCUACCUUCGCGGUUGGUACUCGUUGCCUUCGAUUUUGUUCGUUUGGGUGGGCGGUUGGCUUCGGCCGGCUGUCGCCCGUCGGACAGGAUUACUUUGAACGGCUCAAGUGCUCAACGCACGUCUUACGACUGAAUACCGGUGCAUGGAAUAAUGGAAGAAGGCUUCGGCCGAGUUUUAUUGGUUUUAUCGGUUGAAGCAAUGGUUAACAGGAACAACCGGGGGCAUUCGUAUCGCUACGCGAGAGGUGAAAUUCGUGGACCGUAGCGAGACGCCCAAAAGCGAAGGCACUUGCCAAGAGUGUUUUCAUUAAUCAAGAACGAAAGUCAGAGGUUCGAAGGCGAUUAGAUACCGCCCUAG
rnacentral:rRNA from 1 species